UGAGGAAGAUAAUGACGGUACYCAACAAGGAAGUGACGGCUAACUACGUGCCAGCAGCCGCGGUAAAACGUAGGUCACAAGCGUUGUCCGGAAUUACUGGGUGUAAAGGGAGCGCAGGCGGGAAGACAAGUUGGAAGUGAAAUCUAUGGGCUCAACCCAUAAACUGCUUUCAAAACUGUUUUUCUUGAGUAGUGCAGAGGUAGGCGGAAUUCCCGGUGUAGCGGUGGAAUGCGUAGAUAUCGGGAGGAACACCAGUGGCGAAGGCGGCCUACUGGGCACCAACUGACGCUGAGGCUCGAAAGUGUGGGUAGCAAACAGGAUUAGAUACCCUGGUAGUCCACACUGUAAACGAUGAUUACUAGGUGUUGGGGGAUUGACCCCCUCAGUGCCGCAGUUAACACAAUAAGUAAUCCACCUGGGGAGUACGACCGCAAGGUUGAAACUCAAAGGAAUUGACGGGGGCCCGCACAAGCAGUGGAGUAUGUGGUUUAAUUCGACGCAACGCGAAGAACCUUACCAAGUCUUGACAUCCUGCGACGAUSMUAGAAAUAKKAUUUUCCUUCGGGACGCAGAGACAGGUGGUGCAUGGUUGUCGUCAGCUCGUGUCGUGAGAUGUUGGGUUAAGUCCCGCAACGAGCGCAACCCCUAUGGUCAGUUACUACGCAAGAGGACUCUGGCCGGACUG
rnacentral:rRNA from 1 species